rnacentral:rRNA from 1 species
GAUGAACGCUGGCGGCGUGCCUAAUACAUGCAAGUCGAGCGAACAGACGAGGAGCUUGCUCCUCUGACGUUAGCGGCGGACGGGUGAGUAACACGUGGAUAACCUACCUAUAAGACUGGGAUAACUUCGGGAAACCGGAGCUAAUACCGGAUAACAUGUUGAACCGCAUGGUUCAACAGUGAAAGACGGUUUUGCUGUCACUUAUAGAUGGAUCCGCGUCGCAUUAGCUAGUUGGUAAGGUAACGGCUUACCAAGGCAACGAUGCGUAGCCGACCUGAGAGGGUGAUCGGCCACACUGGAACUGAGACACGGUCCAGACUCCUACGGGAGGCAGCAGUAGGGAAUCUUCCGCAAUGGGCGAAAGCAUGACGGAGCAACGCCGCGUGAGUGAAGAAGGUCUUCGGAUCGUAAAACUCUGUUAUUAGGGAAGAACAAAUGUGUAAGUAACUAUGCACGUCUUGACGGUACCUAAUCAGAAAGCCACGGCUAACUACGUG